UGCCUUCUUUUGGAUCAACAGCAAGAAACAAAUGUGAGAAAGGCUGAACUUGAUGGACACAAGUCUCUUUUCAGCUAUGUAACUAUGUAAAUCACAAUGUUCACACAGCCUUAGCCGCACCUCCUUGCAUGUGACUUGCACAGCCUUCUUAAACACUUCCUGUAACGAGUAAUCUAAUGUUUACACUUCCUUUAUUACAAAUUAUGUUUAAUUUAGAAUUUCUUAUUUCCUCUGAUAAUAGUUUGCAAGACCCUGCAUUAGGCCCUCCACAUAGGAAAGCAUU